rnacentral:rRNA from 1 species
UUCCGGUUGAUCCUGCCGGAGGCCACUGCUAUCGGAGUUCGAUUAAGCCAUGCGAGUCGAGAGGAUUCGGCCCUCGGCGUACUGCUCAGUAACACGUGGAUAACCUACCCUAAGGUGGGGAAUAACCCCGGGAAACUGGGGAUAAUACCCCAUAUUCUAUGGAAGCUGGAAUGCUCUAUAGUCAAAAGAUUUAUUCGCCUUAGGAUGGGUCUGCGGCCGAUUAGGUAGUUGUUGGGGUAACGGCCCAACAAGCCUUUGAUCGGUACGGGUUGUGGGAGCAAGAGCCCGGAGAUGGAUUCUGAGACACGAAUCCAGGCCCUACGGGGCGCAGCAGGCGCGAAAACUUUACAAUGCGGGAAACCGUGAUAAGGGAACUCCGAGUGCCCGUAAACGCGGGCUGUCCAUCUGCUUAAAAAACAGGUGAAGAAAGGGCCGGGCAAGACCGGUGCCAGCCGCCGCGGUAAUACCGGCGGCUCGAGUGGUGGCCACUAUUACUGGGCUUAAAGCGUCCGUAGCUUGGUUGUUAAGUCUCUUGGGAAAUCUGUCGGCUUAACCGACAGGCGUUUAAGGGAUACUGGCAAUCUAGGGACCGGGAGAGGUGAGAGGUACUCCAGGGGUAGGAGUGAAAUCCUGUAAUCCUUGGGGGACCACCUGUGGCGUAGGCGUCUCACCAGAACGGCUCCGACAGUGAGGGACGAAAGCUGGGGGAGCAAACCGGAUUAGAUACCCGGGUAGUCCCAGCCGUAAACGAUGCGCGUUAGGUGUAUCGGUGACCACGAGUCACCGAGGUGCCGAAGGGAAACCGUGAAACGUGCCGCCCGGGAAGUACGGUCGCAAGGCUGAACUUAAA